CACGAUGAGGAACUAGGAAGGAGAGGUUGAUACUUCAGAUAUGUUCUACGCUGAUAAUGAUGGUGGUAGUGGCUUACGAUUCAGAUGGAUGGGGUGGAGAAUAGCAUGAAUUAAUCUUCAAAUCCAACAAGGCAUCGCUUCACCAUGGAUGGCUACGACGGCGGUGGAAUGGAAGAGCUCAAUGUGUUCUGUAAGAUGGUUGUCUGGUAUGUGGAGUGAAGAUGCAUCUAGCAUCAACUUCUUGGUUAUUGAGGUGAUUCUGAUUUCCUAAAAAUAUUUGUGCUACACAUACGUGAUGGAUUUAUGCUUAUAGCUUAUAUAUGGGAUUCUAUUUCAGGACACCUUUCCCUGGUGGUGCUACCGGCGCCCAAAUAUCUCAUUUCUCUUGAUCAUAUAGUGAAAGCAAUUCGCUCCGAUUAGCCCAAAUUCCCCAAAAUUAAUAUUUGAAAAGUUUUGUCUGAUCAAAUAUCUUAAAUAUUGACACGUACUUCCUUAGUACGGAAUUACUUGUCGCUCAAACGGAUGUGCUAGAUACAUCAAUUUGACUAACAAGUAACUCUGGGCGGAGGGAGUAUAUAUUUGACAAUGCCUAUUAUUUUUUAUUGCUCUUGCUGGGAAGGGAUAAGUGUUAUGAAUUGUUGAGCUUAAAGAUAAGCACAUAGAAGAUGGAAAAUAGAAUAUUACUUAUGUGUUGUUGUGCUAGAUUAUCUCCUGAAGCGAAAAGUUAACAAAUUCGAUGCAAUGAAGUCAAUAAGGGAGUAGGCGCUCAAGGGAACAAAGGGUAGAAGAAUAUAAGGAUGUAAAAACUAACCUGUUAGGAGCGGCUUCACAAAAACUAAGGUCUAAAAAUUUGGAUAAUGCACAUUAAUGGAUUUUUUUGUUUAUUCAUUUCAUUCCAAGAUAUAUUGAAAGACUUGCUUCGGUGGUGCCAGACCCCGUUAGCAGCAUUGCAAAGCUUUUGAUUUAGAGCAAAGCUAUACAACCAAGGAAACUGGAUUUAAAUAUUUUACUGCACCCUAAUCUUUAUCCUGACCCAAUAUAUUUGCAGAUAUCUAUGUCUUUCUGAUCUUUGUGGAGGCUGCUUAUCUCACAAUUUUUUUCUAUCCCGCCUAGGAAAAUAGAUUGUACAAUAUUAAUUCAGUCGAACAACACGAGUAUCAUGCCUGCCUACUGUAGUUAUUUUUGACAAUAUAAUCUGUUCACACAUCAUUACAAGGUUCCUUAAAACUACCUUUGUAUAUAUUUCAGACCAAGGUCUAAGAGUAUUCAGCCAAUCAUACUUUCAAACCAGCAGAGAAUGUGAAAGAGAAUAUUUAUAUUUAGGCUUACUAACUUUUAACGAACAAUGUGGUUCUCAUAUGAAUGUGUGUAAUUUUAUUCUAUUCAUCAGGGUGUAAAUCACAAGAGAACCGUGCAAUGAGAUUCUUGUUAGACUGGUGAGGAUAGUGCCAUAUUCUUAUAUUGUUUUGCUCAAUAAUAUUGAAGCGUUGGGCCCUUCUUGUUCUAUAUGUCCAUGGGGAAGAUGGACCUCAUGCCCCUGGGUGUAUGAAGAGGUAAAUGGUUCAAAUUUGUGCAUAUGCUUAUCGUCGGAUAGGAUUAGGUGAUUAGAUACGUGAGCAUUUAACAAUAAACUGGAUUCACGAAGCAAACACAAGGGACUCAAUGAGGCAGAGUGUCUUAGCUUUUGUUUUCCUAUGUUAGUAUAUUUAUAUUUCAAUACAAACAUUGUGGGAUGUGAAGUAAAUUGUUCUACACGUCACUGAUUGUGCAGGAGUAGGGAGAGUCAUCCACCGGAUAGGACCCCAUGUCCGGAGAGGGUUGUGCACUUGAGAAGAGACAAUCAGGUACACAGACAAGUUGGGUGACCAUGUUCUUGAGCUUUUCAUCCAUUUGAUUCAUUAGGAGAGCCAUAUGAUUUGUAUAACUUAUAUUUCUGGGAGCAUGGUUUUAUAAUUCACUAUGGGAAAAGUCAGUUAAACACAAAGAAUAUGAAAUGCUUGCAAAAAAUACUUUGUGGUUGCUCUGUAUCUUAACUGGGUUGGUAUAGAAUCAAGUUCAGGUUCACCGGUGCUGAUAAUGGAAAUUUAUAUCUGCACAGGGGAGGCCUACAUAGGAGAACAGUAUGUCUUGGCGCUGUGAAUACCCAACAUUGGUUCGACUUUCCACACAUCAGACAAGGGGUGGCACAUUACUAAGCACAGAGUCUCGCACAAUCAUUCAUUCAUGCCCACAUGUGGCGACAAGGUUCAUUAGCAGUCGCGCAAGGAGAUAUAUCAGUACAGAAAGAACUUGGUAAAACUGCUAAGGCAAAACUUUCCUUGACCAUGAAUUCAAGGCCAAAUUUUGCACCUUCUUUUCCUCCAAUUAUCCGUUCCAGUUUGAUUAGGAUGAGACGUGUUUCGGUUAGCAUGAUUGUUUGUAAAUGGUCACCACCCUCCCUGUACUUUUGUUGUUGUCACUUCAUUAAUUAUUUCCCCAAAAGAUAACAUUGUAGAAAUCAGACAAGGUCUUAUGUCAAGUCUCGGGGCGUAGAAUCUAUUUCAUAGAGGUCGGUUAUCCUAUCUUUGUAUUGUUUUCUCUUUGCAUGGAUGAAGGUAUUUUUCGAAGAAUCCUUCUUAUGCUUGUUUGGAGUUUAACUAGAGGUACUUGUGGAGUGUGUUAUGAAGAUUGCUCCAUAGGAACUUUGAUCAAAUUGUUUGAUGACAUAUCACUAUCAUUCUUCUUCUACUUGAGAAAAAUAAAGUUU
rnacentral:lncRNA from 1 species